rnacentral:rRNA from 1 species
UACAGAGGUCCCGAGCGUUGUUCGGAUUCACUGGGCGUAAAGGGUGCGUAGGUGGUGAGGUAAGUCGGAUGUGAAAUCUCCGGGCUUAACCCGGAAAGGUCAGCCGAUACUGCGGGGCUAGAGUGCAGAAGGGGCAACUGGAAUUCUCGGUGUAGCGGUGAAAUGCGUAGAUAUCGAGAGGAACACCUGCGGCGAAGGCGGGUUGCUGGGCUGACACUGACGCUGAGGAGCGAAAGCGUGGGGAGCAAACAGG